GGGUUGUGAGGUUAAGCGACUAAGCGUACACGGUGGAUGCCCUGGCAGUCAGAGGCGAUGAAGGACGUGCUAAUCUGCGAUAAGCGUCGGUAAGGUGAUAUGAACCGUUAUAACCGGCGAUUUCCGAAUGGGGAAACCCAGUGUGUUUCGACACACUAUCAUUAACUGAAUCCAUAGGUUAAUGAGGCGAACCGGGGGAACUGAAACAUCUAAGUACCCCGAGGAAAAGAAAUCAACCGAGAUUCCCCCAGUAGCGGCGAGCGAACGGGGAGCAGCCCAGAGCCUGAAUCAGUGUGUGUGUUAGUGGAAGCGUCUGGAAAGGCGUGCGAUACAGGGUGACAGCCCCGUACACAAAAAUGCACAUGCUGUGAGCUCGAUGAGUAGGGCGGGACACGUGGUAUCCUGUCUGAAUAUGGGGGGACCAUCCUCCAAGGCUAAAUACUCCUGACUGACCGAUAGUGAACCAGUACCGUGAGGGAAAGGCGAAAAGAACCCCGGCGAGGGGAGUGAAAAAGAACCUGAAACCGUGUACGUACAAGCAGUGGGAGCCUCUUUUAUGGGGUGACUGCGUACCUUUUGUAUAAUGGGUCAGCGACUUAUAUUCUGUAGCAAGGUUAACCGAAUAGGGGAGCCGAAGGGAAACCGAGUCUUAACUGGGCGUUAAGUUGCAGGGUAUAGACCCGAAACCCGGUGAUCUAGCCAUGGGCAGGUUGAAGGUUGGGUAACACUAACUGGAGGACCGAACCGACUAAUGUUGAAAAAUUAGCGGAUGACUUGUGGCUGGGGGUGAAAGGCCAAUCAAACCGGGAGAUAGCUGGUUCUCCCCGAAAGCUAUUUAGGUAGCGCCUCGUGAAUUCAUCUCCGGGGGUAGAGCACUGUUUCGGCAAGGGGGUCAUCCCGACUUACCAACCCGAUGCAAACUGCGAAUACCGGAGAAUGUUAUCACGGGAGACACACGGCGGGUGCUAACGUCCGUCGUGAAGAGGGAAACAACCCAGACCGCCAGCUAAGGUCCCAAAGUCAUGGUUAAGUGGGAAACGAUGUGGGAAGGCCCAGACAGCCAGGAUGUUGGCUUAGAAGCAGCCAUCAUUUAAAGAAAGCGUAAUAGCUCACUGGUCGAGUCGGCCUGCGCGGAAGAUGUAACGGGGCUAAACCAUGCACCGAAGCUGCGGCAGCGACACUAUGUGUUGUUGGGUAGGGGAGCGUUCUGUAAGCCUGUGAAGGUGUGCUGUGAGGCAUGCUGGAGGUAUCAGAAGUGCGAAUGCUGACAUAAGUAACGAUAAAGCGGGUGAAAAGCCCGCUCGCCGGAAGACCAAGGGUUCCUGUCCAACGUUAAUCGGGGCAGGGUGAGUCGACCCCUAAGGCGAGGCCGAAAGGCGUAGUCGAUGGGAAACAGGUUAAUAUUCCUGUACUUGGUGUUACUGCGAAGGGGGGACGGAGAAGGCUAUGUUGGCCGGGCGACGGUUGUCCCGGUUUAAGCGUGUAGGCUGGUUUUCCAGGCAAAUCCGGAAAAUCAAGGCUGAGGCGUGAUGACGAGGCACUACGGUGCUGAAGCAACAAAUGCCCUGCUUCCAGGAAAAGCCUCUAAGCAUCAGGUAACAUCAAAUCGUACCCCAAACCGACACAGGUGGUCAGGUAGAGAAUACCAAGGCGCUUGAGAGAACUCGGGUGAAGGAACUAGGCAAAAUGGUGCCGUAACUUCGGGAGAAGGCACGCUGAUAUGUAGGUGAAGUCCCUCGCGGAUGGAGCUGAAAUCAGUCGAAGAUACCAGCUGGCUGCAACUGUUUAUUAAAAACACAGCACUGUGCAAACACGAAAGUGGACGUAUACGGUGUGACGCCUGCCCGGUGCCGGAAGGUUAAUUGAUGGGGUCAGCGCAAGCGAAGCUCUUGAUCGAAGCCCCGGUAAACGGCGGCCGUAACUAUAACGGUCCUAAGGUAGCGAAAUUCCUUGUCGGGUAAGUUCCGACCUGCACGAAUGGCGUAAUGAUGGCCAGGCUGUCUCCACCCGAGACUCAGUGAAAUUGAACUCGCUGUGAAGAUGCAGUGUACCCGCGGCAAGACGGAAAGACCCCGUGAACCUUUACUAUAGCUUGACACUGAACAUUGAGCCUUGAUGUGUAGGAUAGGUGGGAGGCUUUGAAGUGUGGACGCCAGUCUGCAUGGAGCCGACCUUGAAAUACCACCCUUUAAUGUUUGAUGUUCUAACGUUGACCCGUGAUCCGGGUUGCGGACAGUGUCUGGUGGGUAGUUUGACUGGGGCGGUCUCCUCCUAAAGAGUAACGGAGGAGCACGAAGGUUGGCUAAUCCUGGUCGGACAUCAGGAGGUUAGUGCAAUGGCAUAAGCCAGCUUGACUGCGAGCGUGACGGCGCGAGCAGGUGCGAAAGCAGGUCAUAGUGAUCCGGUGGUUCUGAAUGGAAGGGCCAUCGCUCAACGGAUAAAAGGUACUCCGGGGAUAACAGGCUGAUACCGCCCAAGAGUUCAUAUCGACGGCGGUGUUUGGCACCUCGAUGUCGGCUCAUCACAUCCUGGGGCUGAAGUAGGUCCCAAGGGUAUGGCUGUUCGCCAUUUAAAGUGGUACGCGAGCUGGGUUUAGAACGUCGUGAGACAGUUCGGUCCCUAUCUGCCGUGGGCGCUGGAGAACUGAGGGGGGCUGCUCCUAGUACGAGAGGACCGGAGUGGACGCAUCACUGGUGUUCGGGUUGUCAUGCCAAUGGCACUGCCCGGUAGCUAAAUGCGGAAGAGAUAAGUGCUGAAAGCAUCUAAGCACGAAACUUGCCCCGAGAUGAGUUCUCCCUGACCCUUUAAGGGUCCUGAAGGAACGUUGAAGACGACGACGUUGAUAGGCCGGGUGUGUAAGCGCAGCGAUGCGUUGAGCUAACCGGUACUAAUGAACCGUGAGGCUUAACCUUACAACGCCGAAGCUGUU
rnacentral:rRNA from 1 species